rnacentral:piRNA from 1 species
UGAGAUUGGAAAAAAAAAUUC